GACGAACGCUGUCGGCGCGCCUAACACAUGCAAGUCGAACGGGCUUGCUGUACUGAAUUUUUCGGAAGGAAGUAUAGUAAGCAAGUGGCGGACGGGUGAGUAACGCGUGAGUAACCUGCCUAUCAGAGGGGGAUAACGUCUGGAAACGGACGCUAAUACCGCAUAAUGUACCGGAGCCGCAUGGUGCUGGUACCAAAGGAGCAAUCCGCUGAGAGAUGGACUCGCGUCCAAUUAGCUAGUUGGUGAGGUAAAGGCCCACCAAGGCAACGAUUGGUAGCCGGACUGAGAGGUUGAACGGCCACAUUGGGACUGAGACACGGCCCAGACUCCUACGGGAGGCAGCAGUGGGGAAUAUUGCACAAUGGGGGAAACCCUGAUGCAGCGACGCCGAGUGAGGGAAGAAGGUUUUCGGAUUGUAAACCUCUGUCCUUGGUGAAGAUAAUGACGGUAGCCAAGGAGGAAGCUACGGCUAACUACGUGCCAGCCGCCGCU
rnacentral:rRNA from 1 species